ACGGGACACCUGCAUCUGCCAACAAGACUGGAAGCAGAAAGGGACAGAGACGGCGAAGUUUGACGGUCUGGAAAGCAGAGACCAGCAGGGCUGACUGCUUGGGAGGAGGAGAAUGCUAUUUAUUUCAGCACCAAAUAUCCGGACAGCGCCUCUCGGGAGGUCCGAGAAGAGAACCGCGAUCUGUUUCAGCACCGGGGCUCAGGACAGUUCCCAGCGGGCUCCGUUUCGUCUCCAGAACCCUGGACAGCUCCUCCAGCCUCCCAAAGUGCUAGGAUUACAGGCGUGAGUCACUGCGCCUGGCCCAAGUCCGGAAUUUUCAACAGGACAUGGGUGUUACUGUGCCCAUGUGACAUUUGGGGAACCCAAGGCCCUGAGAAAGGCAGAAAAAUAACCCACGCAGGGACUCUCAGCCCACAAGUGAAGCUCUUGGAAUGCACUCCCUCCACCUCCAACCAGAGCUCCCCACAACUGACCCUGCCUUCUUCUGCAAGCUCCAUUUCAUCAAGGGAAACGAUCCUUAUUGCCUCACCAUUUCCCACGUGAAGUCUGUAUUGACAUUCUCAUAGACCUGGGAUAUUGUGUCUGCAGCACAUAGUCCAAUUAUUUUCAUGUUAUCUACUGACAGGUCUAUUUGUCUCCCUGUUACACUGUGAGCUCCGUGAGGGCAGAAACAAUGUUAGUAUUUUCACUGCUGUGUCCCCAGCGCCUGGUCCGGGGCCCGGCACACAGCAGGCAUAUAAUAAGCAUGUGUUGAAUCAAUAAAGGCAUCAAAGAAUAAACCAAUACAUCAAUCAAUAAA
rnacentral:lncRNA from 1 species